CGCUGGCGGCAGGCCUAACACAUGCAAGUCGAGCGGCAGCGCGUCCGACCACCCUCGGGUGGUCGGAUGGCGGCGAGCGGCGGACGGGUGAGGAAUGCAUCGGAAUCUGCCUCGUUGUGGGGGAUAACGUAGGGAAACUUACGCUAAUACCGCAUACGACCUACGGGUGAAAGUGGGGGACCUUCGGGCCUCACGCGAUGAGAUGAGCCGAUGCCGGAUUAGCUAGUUGGCGGGGUAAAGGCCCACCAAGGCGACGAUCCGUAGCUGGUCUGAGAGGAUGAUCAGCCACACUGGAACUGAGACACGGUCCAGACUCCUACGGGAGGCAGCAGUGGGGAAUAUUGGACAAUGGGCGCAAGCCUGAUCCAGCAAUGCCGCGUGUGUGAAGAAGGCCUGCGGGUUGUAAAGCACUUUCAGUGGGGAAGAACAGAUUCGGGUCAAUACCCCGGAGCCCUGACGUUACCCACAGAAGAAGCACCGGCUAACUCCGUG
rnacentral:rRNA from 1 species